rnacentral:rRNA from 1 species
UACGUAGGGCGCAAGCGUUGUCCGGAAUUAUUGGGCGUAAAGAGCUCGUAGGCGGUUUGUCGCGUCUGCUGUGAAAACCUAAGGCUCAACCUUGGGCUUGCAGUGGGUACGGGCAGACUAGAGUGCGGUAGGGGUGACUGGAAUUCCUGGUGUAGCGGUGGAAUGCGCAGAUAUCAGGAGGAACACCAGUGGCGAAGGCAGGAUCUCUGG